GAUGAAGAACGUAGCGAAAUGCGAUAAGUAAUGUGAAUUGCAGAAUUCAGUGAAUCAUCGAAUCUUUGAACGCACCUUGCGCUCCUUGGUAUUCCGAGGUGCAUGCCUGUUUGAGUGUCAGUAAAUUCUCAACUCCUCCAGCUUUGUGUUGGCUGGGGCUUGGAUAUGGAGGUCUCUGCCGGCCUGUGUUACUUAGGUCGGCUCCUCUGAAAUGCAUUAGUGGAACCGUUUGCGAUCCCAUCACAGGUGUGAUAAUCCUAUCUACGCCAGUGUGGUCGCUCUCUGUCUCGUUCUGCUUCCCAACUGUCUUUCAGACAACUAUUACUGAAAACUUGACCUCAAAUCAGGUAGGACUACCCGCUGAACUUAAGCAUAUCAAUAAGCGGAGGA
rnacentral:misc_RNA from 1 species